rnacentral:rRNA from 1 species
UACGUAGGGUGCGAGCGUUGUCCGGAAUUAUUGGGCGUAAAGAGCUCGUAGGCGGUGUGUCGCGUCGGCCGUGAAAACCUGCAGCUUAACUGUGGGCUUGCGGUCGAUACGGGCAUCACUGGAGUUCGGCAGGGGAGACUGGAAUUCCUGGUGUAGCGGUGGAAUGCGUAGAGAUCAUGAGGAAGACCAGUGGCGAAGGCGGGUCUCUGGACAGUUCCUGACACUGAGACACGAAGGCCAGAGGAGCAAACGGG